GACGAACGCUGGCGGCGUGCCUAAUACAUGCAAGUCGAACGGUCUUUUCUAUGGAAGCUUGCUUCCGCUGAGAAGAUAGUGGCGAACGGGUGAGUAACACGUGGGUAACCUGCCCAUAAGAGGGGGAUAACAUCCGGAAACGGGUGCUAAUACCGCAUAGUUUUCUUGAUCGCAUGAUUGAGAAAGGAAAGACGGCCUUUGUGCUGUCGCUUAUGGAUGGACCCGCGGCGUAUUAGUUAGUUGGUGAGGUAACGGCUCACCAAGACGAUGAACCGUGGCCGACCUGAGAGGGGUAUCGGCCACAUUGGGACUGAGACACGGCCCAAACUCCUACGGGAGGCAGCAGUAGGGAAUCUUCCGCAAUGGACGAAAGUCUGACGGAGCAACGCCGCGUGAGUGAAGAAGGUUUUCGGAUCGUAAAACUCUGUUGUCAGAGAAGAACAAGUCGGAGAGUAACUGCUCCGGCCUUGACGGUAUCUGAAAAACAAGCCACGGCUAACUACGUGCCAGCAGCCGCCGUAAAAC
rnacentral:rRNA from 1 species